rnacentral:rRNA from 1 species
CACAUGCAAGUCUCAGCACCCCCGUGAGAACACCCUUACAACCCACCCGGGUCAAGGAGCUGACAUCAGGCACAAACCCUCGCCCACAACGUCUAGUUUUUCCACGCCCCCAAGGGCAUUCAGCAGUGAUAGAGAUUGUUCAUAAGCGUCAGCUUGAAUCAGUUAAAGGAUAGAGAGCCGGCCAACACGGUGCCAGCCGCCGCGGCUACACCGCUGGGCUCAAAUUAAUAGCAAACGGCGUCAAGAGUGAUUAAAGACAACUAAAAUUAGAGUUAAAUUUAAACUUAGCUGUUAUAAGCUUGAUACAUAGAAAACCACAAACGAAAGUUACUCUAAUAAUCCUUGAAUACACGACAACCUGGAAACAAACUGAGAUUAGAUACCCCACUAUG